rnacentral:rRNA from 1 species
AAUUAAUAAAAUUGUUUUAAUUAAAUUUUUAUAUUUAAUAUAAAUUAAAUAAAUUAAAGUUAUUGUAUAUUUAAUUAAUAAAAUUCUAUAUACUAUAGUAUAUUGUAUUGUGAAAGAUGUUUAAAAUAUUAAGUUAUAAUUAACUAAAGGUAAUUUUAUUAAUUGUAUCUUGUGUAUCAGAGUAUAUUUAAAUAAAUUAUUAAUUUUUUUUUCUCGAAUUUUUAAGAGUUAAUUAAAUAUUUUAGUUAUUGUAUUAUAAAUAUUAAUAAUGUUUAAUUGGUAAUGAAAUGUUAAUCGUUUUUAAUGAUAUCUAGUUUCUUAGUAAAUGAAUUUAAUUCAUAAAAUGUAAUUUAUUUAAUAAUUUAAUAUUUAAGUAUUUUAUUUUUUUAAUUUUGAGAGGGAUUAACUUUUUGAAGUAUUGUUAUAAUAAAGGAGGCAUUAAGGAUUUUAUGAAUUUAGAAUUUGUUAAUUAUUAAAGGAUGUAAAUAUUUAAUUCUUGUUUUUGUAGUUUUUUAAUUUAUUUAAUUUAUAUAUUGAGAUAUUGAGUUUAAUUUUGUAAUUUUGGAUAAUAUGAUUUAAUUAGUAAAAGAAUAAUAGGUUAUUUUGUUUAAAAGAUUGUUUUUGUUAAUAUGAAGAAUUAGGCAAAUGUUUUACCCACCUGUUUAUUAAAAACAUGGUUUCUUGAAUUGUAAUUAAAAAUUUAACCUGCCCACUGAAUAUUAUUGAAGGGCCGCAGUAUUUUGACUGUGCAAAGGUAGCAUAAUCAUUAGUUUUUUAAUUAAAGGCUGGUAUGAAUGGUUGGAUGAGGUAAAAUCUAUUUUAUGUUAAUUAUUUAUUGAAUUUAGAUUUUUAGUAAAAAGACUUAAAUAUUAUUAAGGGACGAGAAGACCCUAUAGAGUUUAAUAUAUGUAGUAUAUAUUUGGUUAAUUAAAUAAUUUUUAGUUAUUAUGAAAUUUAUUUAGUUGGGGUGAUUAGAAGAUAAAUAUAAUUCUUCUUUGAAUUUAAUAUUUUAAUUAAUUUUGUGAUCCAUUUUUAUUAUGAUUUAAAGAUUAAAUUACCUUAGGGAUAACAGCAUUAUUUCUUUUAAGAGUUCAUAUUGAAAAAGAAGAUUGUGACCUCGAUGUUGGAUUAAGAUUGGUUUUGGGUGUAGAUGUUUAUAAACUGGGUCUGUUCGACCUUUAAAAUCUUACAUGAUCUGAGUUUAAACCGGUGUAAGCCAGGUUGGUUUCUAUCUUUAAUAUAAUUAUGUAUUUUAGUACGAGAGGACCAAAUAUUUAAAAUAAUUUUUAUUAAUUUGAGUAACAUUAAUAUU